GACGAACGCUGGCGGCGUGCCUAACACAUGCAAGUCGAACGGGGUCCAUGGGAGCUUGCUCCCGGAAGACCUAGUGGCGAACGGGUGAGUAACACGUGGGUGAUCUGCCCUGCACUUCGGGAUAAGCUUGGGAAACUGGGUCUAAUACCGGAUAGGACCACGGUCUGCAUGGAUUGUGGUGGAAAGCUUUUGCGGUGUGGGAUGGGCCCGCGGCCUAUCAGCUUGUUGGUGGGGUGAUGGCCUACCAAGGCGACGACGGGUAGCCGGCCUGAGAGGGUGUCCGGCCACACUGGGACUGAGAUACGGCCCAGACUCCUACGGGAGGCAGCAGUGGGGAAUAUUGCACAAUGGGCGCAAGCCUGAUGCAGCGACGCCGCGUGGGGGAUGACGGCCUCGG
rnacentral:rRNA from 1 species